UACGGGGGGAGCAAGCGUUGUUCGGAAUCACUGGGCGUAAAGGGUGCGCAGGUGGGCAGGUAAGUCAGACGUGAAAACUCCGGGCUUAACCCGGAGCCUGCGUUUGAAACUGCUUGUCUUGAGUACGGGAGAGGGAAGUGGAAUUCCUGGUGUAGCGGUGAAAUGCGUAGAUAUCAGGAAGAACGCCGGUGGCGAAGGCGGCUUCCUAGCCCGAUACUGACACUCAGGCACGAAAGCUAGGGGAGCAAACAGGAUUAGAUACCCGUGUA
rnacentral:rRNA from 1 species